UACGGAGUAGGGGAGUUCGGAGUCCCCGCUGGUCUCAUACGCCAGAGGCUUACAAACGCGCAUAAGUGGUUCAAAUCCCGCCUCCGUAAC
rnacentral:tRNA from 1 species